rnacentral:rRNA from 1 species
UACGUAGGGGGCAAGCGUUGUCCGGAUUUAUUGGGCGUAAAGAGCGUGUAGGCGGCCAGGUAGGUCAGCUGUGAAAACUCGAGGCUCAACCUCGAGACGUCGGUUGAAACCACCUGGCUAGAGUCCGGAAGAGGAGAAUGGAAUUCCUGGUGUAGCGGUGAAAUGCGCAGAUAUCAGGAAGAGCACCCGUGGCGAAGGCGGUUCUCUGGGACGGUACUGACGCUGAGACGCGAAAGCGUGGGGAGCGAACAGG